rnacentral:rRNA from 1 species
UACGUAGGUGGCAAGCGUUGUCCGGAAUUAUUGGGCGUAAAGCGCGCGCAGGUGGUUCCUUAAGUCUGAUGUGAAAGCCCACGGCUCAACCGUGGAGGGUCAUUGGAAACUGGGGAACUUGAGUGCAGAAGAGGAAAGUGGAAUUCCAAGUGUAGCGGUGAAAUGCGUAGAGAUUUGGAGGAACACCAGUGGCGAGGGCGACUUUCUGGUCUGUAACUGACACUGAGGCGCGAAAGCGUGGGGAGCAAACAGG